UACGUAGGGCGCGAGCGUUGUCCGGAAUUAUUGGGCGUAAAGAGCUCGUAGGCGGCCUGUUGCGUCCGCUGUGAAAUCCCAGGGCUCAACCCUGGGCGUGCAGUGGAUACGGGCAGGCUGGAGGCAGGCAGGGGAGAACGGAAUUCCCGGUGUAGCGGUGAAAUGCGCAGAUAUCGGGAGGAACACCGGUGGCGAAAGCGGCUCACUGGACCACAACUGACGCUGAUGCACGAAAGCUAGGGGAGCAAACAGG
rnacentral:rRNA from 1 species